AUGACCUCACUCCCUUCGCCAGAUCAUCGCCGAAAUCGACGCACAGAUGACCGGCACCAGGGAGGAGUUCGACAGCGAGGCGAAGAUCUGUGUUGCCGUGGUCAACGAACGAGCCCAACGAGGUGGGAGACCAUGCUACUUAUAGUCGCUGAGAAAGGGUUCAUCAAUAUCGUCGUCGAGUUGCUCAAGCACUCUGACAAGGAGAGCCUUGCGAGGAAGAACAAAUCAGGAUUCGAUGCUCUGCAUGUCACUUCAAAGGAAGGACAUGGAGUGUGCCAUUGCCUACACAAGCUAAUGAGCAAGAAAGAUGGACAUCUGACACUGCUUGUAGAUGUUGUGAAGGUACUCCUGGACCAUGAUCAAUCCCUUGGGAAAAUGUUUGGCCAAUCAAAAUGUGACUCCUCUGAUAACUGA
rnacentral:rRNA from 1 species